UACGUAGGGUGCGAGCGUUGUCCGGAAUUAUUGGGCGUAAAGGGCUCGUAGGCGGUUUGUCGCGUCGGGAGUGAAAACUCAGGGCUUAACCCUGAGCCUGCUUCCGAUACGGGCAGACUAGAGGUAUGCAGGGGAGAACGGAAUUCCUGGUGUAGCGGUGAAAUGCGCAGAUAUCAGGAGGAACACCGGUGGCGAAGGCGGUUCUCUGGGCAUUACCUGACGCUGAGGAGCGAAAGUGUGGGGAGGCGAACAGG
rnacentral:rRNA from 1 species